CGAUGUAGCUCAGUUGGUCAGAGCGUCCGCCUGAUACGCGGAAGGCCGUUGGUUCAAUUCCAACCGUCGCC
rnacentral:tRNA from 1 species